rnacentral:misc_RNA from 1 species
UGGAUGGUUGUGGUUGGCAGGCUCCGUGCUCGUGCAUCGAACUGUUAACACUCUAUCUGCUUCAAUAUUUCCUCAAGUGAAGCUCUUUUCUUGUGGGUUCGUGUGGUAUCCUGUGUUGCUUGCCAAUGAAAUGGAAUUUCAUUGUCUUAUUAUACGGAUUCGCCUUGUGGUCUUUGGGGUGCGAGGUGGACAUGCGGUGAGCACCGUUUUCCUAACAUACCAAGUGCAUUUGGUGUUUGGUUGUUGUGGGCUAUGGUGUCUUUGCUUGUUCUCUUGGAUGCGGAAAGCUAAGUGUGGGUGCAAGGUCUUGACCUUGAAUCAUCCCAGCACUGUCUUUUAACUCGAAUGACUGCUGUGCUUGUCUUGAUCUUCCCGACCAAGGCCUUAUAACAGGGCUUACUGGACGAGGGUGGAUCAUGCAGGUGUCGGUGUCAAAGAGGAAAGCUAC